rnacentral:lncRNA from 1 species
AGCAAAUCAGGCAAGUAUCUUACCUUUGCAUUUCCUUUAUGCAAUGAACAUGAGUAAGAGAGUUUCAGAAUUCUUUUCUAUUCCUGUACAGAUUAUGUACGCUUUGAUUAUCAACAUGUUAGCUCAGAUAUAUAUUCUGUUCAUUGAUUUCUAAAUGGUUAUACAAGUGUCCCCACUUGGAUAAUCAUGACAUUUAUUCACAUGUUGAUACACUUUUUCAAUUACCCGUAUACAUAAAUGUUGAAUUACAUAUUAUUGUUGAGCAAGAUUAAAAACCUUCGGGUUUGGAACCAGGCAUGUAUGAACAUCCCUAUAUGGGAAAAUUUUUGCGGAAUAAAAC